AGUGAACGCUGGCGGUAGGCCUAACACAUGCAAGUCGAACGGCAGCACAGUAAGAGCUUGCUCUUACGGGUGGCGAGUGGCGGACGGGUGAGGAAUACAUCGGAAUCUACUUUUUCGUGGGGGAUAACGUAGGGAAACUUACGCUAAUACCGCAUACGACCUACGGGUGAAAGCAGUGGAUCUUCGGACCUUGCGCGAUUGAAUGAGCCGAUGUCGGAUUAGCUAGUUGGCGGGGUAAAGGCCCACCAAGGCGACGAUCCGUAGCUGGUCUGAGAGGAUGAUCAGCCACACUGGAACUGAGACACGGUCCAGACUCCUACGGGAGGCAGCAGUGGGGAAUAUUGGACAAUGGGCGCAAGCCUGAUCCAGCCAUACCGCGUGGGUGAAGAAGGCCUUCGGGCUGUAAAGCCCUUUUGUUGGGAAAGAAAAGCAGCAGGUUAAUACCCCGCUGUUCUGACGGUACCCAAAGAAUAAGCACCGGCUAACUUCGUG
rnacentral:rRNA from 1 species